AGAAACUUCCACUUUUAAAUCAACAAAAGAAAUGCCAACAGAUGUCCCAAAACCAACCUACACACCAUCAUAUAGAAGUGAAGGCACAACUCUUCAACCACUGGCCACAGCAUCCACAAAUGUGUCACCCACAUCUGUAACAAGACCAGCAACCAAGGAGGAAGGUAGCAGUACUGAUCAGUUUACACAAGAAUUUACCAAAUCUGCAGCAUCUGUGACAACUACGUCAGUAACACCAACUCAGGCCAUACAACAUAUAGCACAAUCAACCAUGACAGAAAACACUUCACUGGAAACAUUUCAGAGUACACCCGAGGGAACAACAAAUGGGACUCCUUCCCAAAGUAAAGGAACUGUUGCUAACAAAAAUGUAAACAGCUCUGUCACACCCUCACCCUCAUUCAGCCCUUUACCAUCUACAGUAAUGGUUCCAAAAUCCACUGCUGUAAUAGAGUCGAGUUCGCCUUCAUUAUUUUCUACAGAGCAAUCAUCACCAAACACUGCCCAAGCCAACACAACAGGGCCCCAAGUUAACUCUACAUCUUUCCCCCCAUCUACGGCCAACACAAUAUUUUUUAAGUAUACACCCAAGAUUGCCACUCUGACCCCUCUUAUCUUUGAUUAUCCAAUUGUGAACCGCAUCAGCUUUCCUGCUUCCAAUGAUUCAAACCCAGAAGAACAAUUGCAGAACAACACAAAUCAGGCAGGCAGCACCUGAUUGAUAGUCACCUGAUGGCCCCCUUGGAGAGCAAUAACACAGAAAAAAAUGCGUCAGAGACUGUAGCAAAAUGUGUUGUAUCAAGUGAUGUAAAAGAAGAAAAAAAAAUACUUUGCCUUCAGCUUGUCUUGAUCCCAAAUGUCUGACAGUGAAAGACCUGGUUUUGCAAGCUGCGUGUUAUUUUCAUUAGCUCACCUGCCCAUUGAUGUGAAGCACAAUGUUACAUAGAUUAGAUAGGCUGUAGCUCUGAAAUAAAUGGUGUACAGCAAGAAGUAACCUGAGUUUCAUUUAUGCUCUGAAUUGUUGUAACAAUGAUUGUAAAAGUGAGCCAAGCACUGACAUGUUCGUGGUGGUUGUGGUGUUUAAGUAAGGUACACUGCACUCCUCUCUUUGUUUGAAUUCAAGAUUCCAGGUGUGUUAACGAACAUAAUGAAAAAAGAACGAAAAAGAAUACACAUAUGUACAAAUUGUAUAUAAUUUGUGCUUUUUAGUAUGCCAAGCUGUUUUUAAGCUCUUUUCUGUGUAUAAAUGCUCAACAGUCUUUAAUCAUAAUUAAGUUUAACGCAUAAUUAGGUGCACCAAAGCAAAAGCACUGGAGCACAGUAGUUGCUAUUUUUCAAAUUUAUCAUUAUUUAAAUUCUCAUUGUUAUGUAUUAUUAGUCACCAAAAUUCUCUCCCAGGCUCAGGCAGCAGGGCUUUGGUGUUUGUCCCUCUUUUCAUUCGGAACAUUCAAAAAAUAGCUUUGAAGUUAAUGAGCACACUCGAUUUUCAUCAUAUCAGCAACACCUGCACAACAUUACAGAAUUGCUAGAUUAUACAAAAGCUAUUCAAGUUUAAAUGGUUUUCAGGGAUCGCAACAAGUGUGACAGUUUCAGAAUUAACCCUGUCAUGCAUAAAUUAUUACAACCUCAAUCAGGAUUUUUUCUCAAGUAUUUUUAUUCAUCUUUUGGCAUAAAAAAGGAUUUUGGAUCUUCAUUUUUUAUCAAGGAGUUUUUUACAUGUCCACUUAAGUGGACAACACUGACUGACCAGUGGGUGGCAGGGUGACAUGAGUGACACAUCAGUGUCCAAUGUGGUAGCUUAUGUGCUAGUAUACCAUCAACACUGUCACAAAUACAAGAAAACAACCUUUUAAUAUCUGUCCACUAAAGUAACCACUAUGCGUGAAAGGGUUAAAGCCCAUACAUCACAUAUAUAACAUGUGUCCAGCUGCCUCUGUCACACAGAGAGACCUGGUGAUUAGCACAGUCUGGACAUUACAGUAACAAUUUAAUCAAAGUGUGCUAAAUCUGAAUGAUAACAGUUUUUCUAUAUCUAAUUAACUAUCCUGUGGCCACCAUUUGUUUUGAUUUAUGACUGCCUGUAAAUAUUUUGGACUAUCAAAAUAAAAUCUUUGAUAUAAUAAAGACCGUUUAAAAUCUGUUUCUUUCUUCCUUUUGGGAUAGCUUUUGUUUCAAACUGCUUACAUUUUUCUCCCAGUUUUUCUUGCAAAGUUUGAAUAGCCAUUUUUUAUCUUCUGAUGGCUCUCAAUAGAGCCUGCUAGCUCAUAUUGACAGAUGAC
ensembl:lncRNA